rnacentral:rRNA from 1 species
UUGGAGGGCAAGUCUGGUGCCAGCAGCCGCGGUAAUUCCAGCUCCAAUAGCGUAUAUUAAAGUUGUUGCAGUUAAAAAGCUCGUAGUUGAAUUUCGGGGUUAGUAGGUUGGUCAUGCCACUGGUAUGUACUGGUCUCACUGAUUCCUCCUUCCUGAUGAGCCGUAAUGCCAUUAAUUUGGUGUUGCGAGGAAUCUGGACUGUUACUUUGAAAAAAUUAGAGUGUUUAAAGCAAGCUAACGCCUGAAUACAUUAGCAUGGAAUAAUGAAAUAGGACGUUCGAUCCUAUUUUGUUGGUUUCUAGGAUUGACGUAAUGAUUAAUAGGGAUAGUUGGGGGCAUUAGUAUUCAAUUGUCAGAGGUGAAAUUCUUGGAUUUAUUGAAGACUAACUACUGCGAAAGCAUUUGCCAAGGAUGUUUUCAUUAAUCAAGAACGAAAGUUAGGGGAUCGAAGACGAACAGAUACCGUCGUAGUCUUAACCAUAAACUAUGCCGACUAGGGAUCGGAUGAUGUUAAUUUUUUAAUGACUCAUUCGGCGCCUUACGGGAAAC